rnacentral:misc_RNA from 1 species
GUGAAUCAUCGAAUCUUUGAACGCACAUUGCGCCUGCUGGUAUUCCGGUAGGCAUGUCUGUUUGAGCGUCAGCAAACACCCUCGGUGUGCGGAUGUUAACCCCUCCGUACAUCGGUUAUGGGUCUGGGAGCUGUGGGCACUGGCCCGCUUCCGCCUUAAACUUGCUGCAUGACCGCAGGCCGACGCUGACAAAUGCUUAUGGAGUGGAUAUUCGUAUAUAAUUCCGUACUCUGCCAGCUCCCCUGCGGCGUUAAACAGUCCGUUGCCUCUCCUCUGGGGUGGUGACUGAAGUUUGACCUC